UACGUAGGGUGCAAGCGUUAAUCGGAAUUACUGGGCGUAAAGCGUGCGCAGGCGGUUUCGUACGUCUGUCGUGAAAUCCCCGGGCUUAACCUGGGAAUGGCGAUGGAGACUGCGAGGCUAGAGUUUGGCAGAGGGGGGUAGAAUUCCACGUGUAGCAGUGAAAUGCGUAGAGAUGUGGAGGAACACCGAUGGCGAAGGCAGCCCCCUGGGUCAAAACUGACGCUCAUGCACGAAAGCGUGGGGAGCAAACAGG
rnacentral:rRNA from 1 species